CCUACGGUAGGCUGCAGUGGGGAAUAUUGGGCAAUGGACGCAAGUCUGACCCAGCAACGCCGCGUGAAGGAAGAAGGCUUUCGGGUUGUAAACUUCUUUUAAGGGGGAAGAGCAGAAGACGGUACCCCUUGAAUAAGCCACGGCUAACUACGUGCCAGCAGCCGCGGUAAUACGUAGGUGACAAGCGUUAUCCGGAUUUACUGGGUGUAAAGGGCGUGUAGGCGGGACUGCAAGUCAGAUGUGAAAUUCCAGGGCUCAACCCUGGAACUGCAUUUGAAACUGGCUGUCUUGAGAUGUCGAGAGGUAUGCGGAAUGCGCAGUGUAGAGGUGAAAUGCUUAGAUAUUGCGCAGAACUCCGAUUGCGAAGGCAGCAUACCGGCGGCGAUCUGACGCUGAGGCACGAAAGCGUGGGUAUCGAACAGGAUUAGAUACCCUUGUAGUC
rnacentral:rRNA from 1 species